ensembl:snRNA U6 U6 spliceosomal RNA
GUGCUCACUUCAGCAGCACAUACACUAAAAUUGGAACUAUGCCAAGAAGAUUAGCACAGCUCUGCGCAAGGAUGACACGCAAAUUCACAAAGUGUUUUAUAAUAAA